rnacentral:rRNA from 1 species
ACGAACGCUGGCGGCGUGCUUAACCCAUGCCAGUCGAACGGAAAGGCCCUGCUUGCAGGGUACUCGAGUGGCGAACGGGGGAGUAACACGUGGGUGAUCUGCCCUGCACUUCGGGAUAAGCCUGGGAAACUGGGUCUAAUACCGGAUAGGAGCCAUUUUUAGUGUGAUGGUUGGAAAGUUUUUUCGGUGUAGGAUGAGCUCGCGGCCUAUCAGCUUGUUGGUGGGGUAAUGGCCUACCAAGGCGGCGACGGGUAGCCGGCCUGAGAGGGUGGACGGCCACAUUGGGACUGAGAUACGGCCCAGACUCCUACGGGAGGCAGCAGUGGGGAAUAUUGCACCAUGGGCGCAAGCCUGAUGCAGCGACGCCGCGUGGGGGAUGACGGCCUUCGGGUUGUAAACUCCUUUCGCUAGGGACGAAGCUUUUUGUGACGGUACCUAGAUAAGAAGCACCGGCUAACUACGUG